GGCGCGGCGCCGCCCGGGCCCAUUUGUCAUGUGGAGCUACAGAGCAGUCUCCUGGAGAGUUUCAGCAGCUUGAUUACAUGCUACAUGUGGCUUGACAGCGUAGAUGCAGCAUUGCCAAGAGACUGAGCAGGGUUGUAUCAGAGUCACCUUUUCAUCUGCAAGGGGUGCUUGGUUCAGUUGUGGAGAGGGAAGGGAAAUCGUCAUGUCAGGAAGCUCUGAGGGAAGG